UACGUAGGUGGCAAGCGUUUAUCCGGAAUUAUUGGGCGUAAGCGCGCGCAGGUGGUUUCUUAAGUCUGAUGUGAAAGCCCACGGCUCAACCGUGGAGGGUCAUUGGAAACUGGGAGACUUGAGUGCAGAAGAGGAAAGUGGGAAUUCCAUGUGUAGCGGUGGAAAUGCGUAGAGAUCCGGAAGAACACCGGUGGCGAAGGCGGUCGUGCUGGGCAGUGAGCUGACACUGAGGCGCGACAGCGUGGGGAGCAACAGG
rnacentral:rRNA from 1 species